CUCGAGUGGCGAACGGGUGAGUAACACGUGGGUGAUCUGCCCUGCACUUCGGGAUAAGCCUGGGAAACUGGGUCUAAUACCGGAUAGGAGCCAUUUUUAGUGUGAUGGUUGGAAAGUUUUUUCGGUGUAGGAUGAGCUCGCGGCCUAUCAGCUUGUUGGUGGGGUAAUGGCCUACCAAGGCGGCGACGGGUAGCCGGCCUGAGAGAGUGGACGGCCACAUUGGGACUGAGAUACGGCCCAGACUCCUACGGGAGGCAGCAGUGGGGAAUAUUGCACAAUGGGCGCAAGCCUGAUGCAGCGACGCCGCGUGGGGGAUGACGGCCUUCGGGUUGUAAACUCCUUUCGCUAGGGACGAAGCUUUUUGUGACGGUACCUAGAUAAGAAGCACCGGCUAACUACGUGCCAGCAGCCGCGGUAAUACGUAGGGUGCGAGCGUUGUCCGGAAUUACUGGGCGUAAAGGGCUCGUAGGUGGUUUGUCGCGUCGUCUGUGAAAUUCCGGGGCUUAACUCCGGGCGUGCAGGCGAUACGGGCAUAACUUGAGUACUGUAGGGGUAACUGGAAUUCCUGGUGUAGCGGUGAAAUGCGCAGAUAUCAGGAGGAACACCGAUGGCGAAGGCAGG
rnacentral:rRNA from 1 species